ensembl:lncRNA
CAGAUUUCUCUGAAUUCCCGGAUUUCUCCAGAAUUCCCAGAUUUCUCCGGAACUCCCAGAUUUCUCUGCCACUCCCAGAUUUCUCUGCCAUUCCCAGUUUUCCCCGCCAUUCCUGGUUCUCUCUGCCAUUCCCGGAUUUCUCUGAAUUUCCAGAUUUCUCCGUAAUUCCCCAUUUCUCCGGAACUCCCAGCUUUUUCCAGAACUCCCAGAUUUCUCUGCCAUCCCCAGUUUUCCCCGCCAUCCCUGGUUUUCUCUGAAUUCCCAGAUUUCCCUUGAACUCCCGGAUUUCUCCGGCAUCCCCAGGAAUCCCAGUUUUUCUGUGCAUCCCGGUUCCCCCCAGCAUUCCCAGUUUUUCUCGGUGUUCCCGGUUUUGUAGGAAUCCCAGUUUUUCUCUGCAUCCCAGUUUUCCCCCAGCGUUCCCAGUUUUUCCCGGUGCUCCCGGUUCCCCCCGCUGUUCCCAGUUCCCCGCACCGUUCCCAUUUUUUCCCAGUUAUUCCCGGUUCCCCCCGGUUAUUCCCGGUUAUUCCUGUUUUUCCCGGUUAUUCCCGGUGUUCCUGGUUCCCCCCGGGUUAUUCCCGUUUUUCCUGGUGUUCCUGGUUUCCCCCAGUUAUUCCCAUUGCUCCCAGUGUUCCCGGUUAUUCCCAUUGUUCCCCCGUUAUUCCUGGUGUUCCUGUUAUUCCCGUUGUUCCCCCCGGUUCCCCCCUUGUUCCCGGUUCCCCCCAUUAUUCCCAUUAUUCCUGUUGUUCCCCCCGGUUAUUCCCGUUAUUCCCGUUGUUCCCGUUGUUCCCCCGGUUAUUCCCGUUGUUCCCGUUAUUCCCAUUAUUCCCGUUGUUCCAGUUAUUCCCGUUGUUCCUGUUAUUCCCGGUUAUUCCCGUUGCUCCCGUUAUUCCCGUUUUUCCCCCCGUUAUUCCCGUUAUUCCCGUUGUUCCCGUUAUUCCCGUUGUUAUUCCCGUUUCCUUGCAGCACUCCUCCCUGCUGGGCGGCGCCUUCGGGGACUCGUUCUACGAGCAGCAGCUGACGGCGCGCCAGGCCAACGCCCUGUCCCACCAGGUGAGCCGCGCCCCAAUUAACCCACUAAUUAACGAGCAAUUAACGGCGCCUUUCUUGCCUUCCCCUGGUCCCCUCCCCUCUCCCCAUCCCCUCCCGUCCCACGCAGCCGUUCUGCCAAAAAAAAUGGGAAAUCGGUUAAAAAAUGUGUAAUAAUGGAGGUUUUUAAAUGGGAGAUCAAUUAAAAAAUGUGUAAUAAUGGAGGUUUAAAAUGGGAGAUCAAUUUAAAAAAUGUGUAAUAAUGGAGGUUUUUAAAUGGGAGAUCAAUUAAAAAAAUGUGUAAUAGUGGAGAUUUUUAAAUGGGAGAUCAAUUAAAAAAUGUGUAAUAAUCAAGCUUUUAAAAUGGGAGAUCAAUUAAAAAAUGUGUAAUAAUGGAGGUUUAAAAUGGGAGAUCAAUUAAAAAAUGUGUAAUAAUGGAGGUUUUAAAAUGGGAGAUCAACUGAAAAAAUGUGUAAUAAUGGAGGUUUUAAAAUGGGAGAUCAACUAAAAAAAUAUGUAAUAAUCAAGCUUUUAAAAUGGGAGAUCGGUUAAAAAAAUGUGUAAUAAUGGAGGUUUCAAAUGGGAGAUCAAUUAAAAAAUGUGUAAUAAUGGAGGUUUUAAAAUGGGAGAUAUACUAAAAAAAUAUGUAAUAAUCAAGCUUUUAAAAUGGGAGAUCAAUUAAAAAAUGUGUAAUAAUGGAGGUUUAAAAUGGGAGAUCAAUGAAAAAAAUGUGUAAUAAUGGAGGUUUUAAAAUGGAAGAUCAACUAAAAAAAUGUGUAAUAAUCAAGCUUUUAAAAUGGGAGAUCGGUUAAAAAAAUGUGUAAUAAUGGAGAUCUUUAAAUGGGAGAUCAAUUAAAAAAUGUGUAAUAAUGGAGGUUUAAAAUGGGAGAUCAAUUUAAAAAAUGUUUAAUAAUGGAGGUUUUAAAACGGGAGAUCAGUUAAAUAAUGUAUAAUCAAGCUUUUAAAAUGGGAGAUCAACUAAAAAAAUGUGUAAUAAUCAAGCUUUUAAAAUGGGAGAUCGGUUAAAAAAAUGUGUAAUAAUGGAGAUUUUAAAAUGGGAGAUCAAUUAAAAAAAUGUGUAAUAAUGGAGGUCUUAAAGUGGGAGAUCAAUUAAAAAAUGUGUAAUAAUGGAAGUUUAAAAUGGGAGAUCAAUUAAAAAAUGUGUAAUAAUGGA